rnacentral:lncRNA from 1 species
AACAGUCUUCUUGUGUUUAGUAAUGCGUGUCUGAGCGUGCAUGCGCACACUGGCAAAAAUGCAUGCGUGGUGGAAGCAAUGGUACUCUAUCUAGUACUCCCUCCAUCCCAAAUUAUAAGGCUUUGUUUAGAUGUGAAAAGUUUUUAGAUUUCGCUACUGUAGCACUUUCGUUUGUUUGUGUCAAAUAUUGUUUAAUCAUGGACUAACUAGGAUCAAAAGAUUCGUCUCGCGAUUUACAUGUAAACUGUGCAAUUAGUUUUUGUUUUCAUCUAUAUUUAAUGCUUCAUACAGAAGGGCUUUAGCCCCGGGCCGUAAGAGCCUUUAGUCCCGGCUACGGAAUCGGGGCUAAGGUUUCGGGACUAAAUGUCCCACCUUUAGUCCCGGUUCCGAGGACCGGGACUAAAGGUCCAGCUUUAGUCCCGGUUGGUAACAGCAACCGGGACUAAAAGGUGCGCCAGGGUGUGCCACCUGGCCUCCACUUUUAGUCCCGGUUGUUGCUACCAACCGGGACUAAAGACUUUUUUCUUUUUUUCUUUUUCUUUUCAUUUAGUUUUCUAUUUAGGGUUUAUAAUUAUGUUAUUGUUAUUUUCGAAUGCGUAUUGUUUGCUGGUAGUUUAUGGAACGCGCACCUAUAAUUUAUAUAAUUUAAAGCAUUACAUAGAAAUAUACUAUAAAACACUAUAUAUAUAUAUAAAUAAUAUGUAUCUAUAGGUCCAUAAUAUAAUAUUUACACAUAUGCUUCACGGACAAAGUAUUUACAACACAAUUUAUCUCCGCCACUCAAGCAUCGUACAAAUGAUCAUCGUUAUUUGGUUUCAUUGGCUCCUGAUGGUUGAAGUAGCACUCGCCGCCGGGAUUCAGGACUUGGUCGUUAAGAAAUCCUACGAUUGUCUCCUGAAUUCCUUUUAGGCGCACCACAUCCAACACCUACUCCUUCAGCCACAUCUCCUUUAAUAGACAUUAAAGAAAAAAGUUAGAGGUAUGAAUAGGAUUUAUUAAAUAGCAACAAAUAAAUGAAAUAAACUUAUUAUAUAUACAUGUUACAUACUUUUAGGUGCUCAAGAUUAGUUCUUUUGGCAUACACCGUCAUAAACUCGCACACAUAGUAGCCACACAAAUUGUUGCCCGGUGUCUGCCGUAGAACCCACUCAAGUAAGAUGGGCUUUGAAAGUGCUGCAUUCAACUCUGGACGGUGUUUCUGCACGAACCCAGCCCAAACCCUAGCA